rnacentral:rRNA from 1 species
UACAGAGGUCCCAAGCGUUGUUCGGAUUCACUGGGCGUAAAGGGUGCGUAGGCGGUUGGGUAAGUCUGACGUGAAAUCUCCGGGCCUAACCCGGAAACUGCGUUGGAUACUAUCCGGCUCGAGGAAUGGAGGGGAGACUGGAAUACUUGGUGUAGCAGUGAAAUGCGUAGAUAUCAAGUGGAACCCCAGUGGCGAAGGCGAGUCUCUGGACAUUUCCUGACGCUGAGGCACGAAAGCCAGGGGAGCAAACGGG